GCCCGGGUAGCCCAACGGCAGAGGCAGCGCUCUUAAAAAGCGCCCAGUGCGGGUUCGAGUCCCGCCCCGGGCA
rnacentral:tRNA from 1 species